rnacentral:rRNA from 1 species
UACGUAGGGUGCGAGCGUUAAUCGGAAUUACUGGGCGUAAAGGGCGCGCAGGCGGCUGCUCAAGUCAGGCGUGAAAGGCCUGGGCUCAACCCGGGAAUUGCGCUUGAGACUGGGCUGGCUUGAGUGCGGGAGAGGAUGGUGGAAUUCCCAGUGUAGAGGUGAAAUUCGUAGAUAUUGGGAAGAACACCGGUGGCGAAGGCGGCCUGUUGGGCGAGUUGCUGACACUGAGGCGCGACAGCGUGGGGAGCAAACAGGAUUAGAAACCCCG